UAAAAACUCUGAAAAUUUUCAGGCAGAAAAACUCCCAACAAAUCACUAGUUUAUUGAAAUUUCUUAGAGUGAUCUUAAAGUUCCAAGUUCUAAAUUAAAUAUCCAGCUUAUCUAAGGUUGAAAAUGGCUUGAAUUUUCGUUGUGUUUUAGUAGUGGAGGUUUCAGAGGUUUUGGGGGUUAGUUUUGAGUUUAUUUGGGUUCAUUCGAGCUUGAUUUUGGGUGCUUACUGGUGUUGCUCAUCUGAAAUUAAUUCAUGGGCUGCUUGAUAUCAUUUUCUGGGUUCGAAAUUGAUUUUAAGUUGUUGCUGAAUGUUGUUUGAUGCUGCUGACUCUUCCCUUUUCUUACUUUCCUUAAUUUUCAGGUACAUUUUUUGUCUCAAGUGAUGUAUGAAGAUUGAAUCAAAUGUAUUCUCAAGUUUGAAUUGCUACAUGUUUCCCAUGAAUUUCCUAUUGUUUCUACUUUAAUUUUGAUGAAUAGCAUAGUUGUGUAUUUAUUUGGACACUGCCGCAGUUUAU
rnacentral:lncRNA from 1 species